CCCUUAGAUGUCCUGGGCCGCACGCGCGCUACACUGAUGCAUUCAACGAGUUUUACCUUGGCCGAGAGGCCUGGGCAAUCUUUUAAACCUUCAUCGUGAUAGGGAUAGAUUAUUGCAAUUAUUAAUCUUGAACGAGGAGUUCCUAGUAAACGCAAAUCAUCAAUUUGCAUUGAUUACGUCCCUGCCCUUUGUACACACCGCCCGUCGCACCUACCGAUUGAAUGGUCCGGUGAAGCCUCGGGAUUGUGGCCAGUUCACUUUAUUGGGAGUUGGCUGUGAGAACUUGUCUAAACCUUAUCAUUUAGAGGAAGGUGAAGUCGUAACA
rnacentral:rRNA from 1 species